rnacentral:ncRNA from 2 species
CCCCCUAACAUUUAUGAAGGGGAGGAAAAGAAACUAACAAGGAUUCCCCGAGUAGCUGCGAGCGAAAAGGGAUGAGCUCAGCACGUAGGGGUGAUGCACUUGUGUGUCUACCCGGUUCCGUGUACUGGAAAAUUUGUCAUCUGCCAUGCCCAGCGUAAGGUCCAAGUUCAACUAGAAUGUGGCUUUUACUCCCAUAGAGGGUGAUAGGCCCGUAGGACGGCGCUGAUGGUGGAAAAUUUUUCCAUGGAGUCGUGUUGCUUGAUAGUGCAGCACAAAGUGGGAGGUAAACUCCUUCUAAAGCUAAAUAUCACCACGAGACCGAUAGCGAACAAGUACCGUGAGG